rnacentral:rRNA from 1 species
GAUGAACGCUGGCGGCGUGCCUAAUACAUGCAAGUCGAGCGAACAGACGAGGAGCUUGCUCCUCUGACGUUAGCGGCGGACGGGUGAGUAACACGUGGAUAACCUACCUAUAAGACUGGGAUAACUUCGGGAAACCGGAGCUAAUACCGGAUAAUAUAUUGAACCGCAUGGUUCAAUAGUGAAAGACGGUUUUGCUGUCACUUAUAGAUGGAUCCGCGCCGCAUUAGCUAGUUGGUAAGGUAACGGCUUACCAAGGCAACGAUGCGUAGCCGACCUGAGAGGGUGAUCGGCCACCCUGGAACUGAGACACGGUCCGGACUCCUACGGGAGGAAGCAGUAGGGAAUCUUACGCAAUGGGCGAAAGCCUGACGGAGCAACGCCGCGUGAGUGAUGAAGGUCUUCGGAUCGUAAAACUCUGUUAUUAGGGAAGAACAAAUGUGUAAGUAACUAUGCACGUCUUGACGGUACCUAAUCAGAAAGCCACGGCUAACUACGUG